CUUGGUCAUUUAGAGGAAGUAAAAGUCGUAACAAGGUUUCCGUAGGUGAACCUGCGGAAGGAUCAUUAAAAAAAAGUUGUGUGAGGCGGUAACCUGGCAGUGCCAGGUGGCCGCUUAUACAUCAACACCCUCUGUAUAUCUACCGUGUUGCUUUGGCGGGACGGCAACCCAUCAGCUCCGCUGGGAAGUUGUCCGCAGGGCCUGUAAAGGCCCCGCGAGCGCCCGCCGGAGAACCACCAAACUCAUGUUAAACCGUGAUGUCUGAGCUUUACAAGCAAUAAGUUAAAACUUUCAACAACGGAUCUCUUGGUUCUCGCAUCGAUGAAGAACGCAGCGAAAUGCGAUAAGUAAUGUGAAUUGCAGAAUUCAGUGAAUCAUCGAAUCUUUGAACGCAUAUUGCGCCCCUUGGUAUUCCGAGGGGCAUGCCUUUUCGAGCGUCAUUACAACCGUCAAGCUCUGCUUGGUAUUGGGCCUCUGCCCCCCUGUGGGCGGGCCUUAAAGUCAUCAGCGGCUGAGCAAACGGCACUCUAGCGUAGUAGAAAUUAACUCGCUGGGGACCGGGGCUCAGGCAGCUGUUAAACACGCGUCUCUGGCGCACAUCUUAAGGUUGACCUCGGAUAAGGUAGGGAUACCCGCUGAACUUAAGCAUAUCAAUAAGCGGAGGA
rnacentral:rRNA from 1 species